GACGAACGCUGGCGGCGUGCCUAAUACAUGCAAGUUGAGCGAUGAAGAUUGGUGCUUGCACCAAUUUGAAGAGCAGCGGACGGGUGAGUAACGCGUGGGGAAUCUGCCUUUGAGCGGGGGACAACAUUUGGAAACGAAUGCUAAUACCGCAUAACAACUUUAAACAUAAGUUUUAAGUUUGAAAGAUGCAAUUGCAUCACUCAAAGAUGAUCCCGCGUUGUAUUAGCUAGUUGGUGAGGUAAAGGCUCACCAAGGCGAUGAUACAUAGCCGACCUGAGAGGGUGAUCGGCCACAUUGGGACUGAGACACGGCCCAAACUCCUACGGGAGGCAGCAGUAGGGAAUCUUCGGCAAUGGACGAAAGUCUGACCGAGCAACGCCGCGUGAGUGAAGAAGGUUUUCGGAUCGUAAAACUCUGUUGGUAGAGAAGAACGUUGGUGAGAGUGGAAAGCUCAUCAAGUGACGGUAACUACCCAGAAAGGGACGGCUAACUACGUG
rnacentral:rRNA from 1 species